AGCUAACAUGCUGGCGAAGUGAAACACAAUUUUUUUUUCAUAAUUACUAUCCCGGAUCAUGAUAUCUUUGAUAAUUGCAUUGAUCUACAUUUUUCCUUAAAAAUACAAUUUCGUUUAUUACACAUAAACAACAUUUAUUUACCCGAAUGACAUGCAGUAAAACGAUCCACGUUUGACAUAUCCUAAAUCCCGUUCUUUUUCUUGAUCAUACAAUACCCUUGGUAUUAUCACAAACAGUAUAAACUUACAUACUUUUUAAUUUUAUCAGCAUAUUCUUGUGUUGUUGCUUUUUCAUUAUUUGAUAUCUUUGGGUCAGUGUUACUAUUGUUGUGUGUUUUGUAUGAUACACAAAAUAUUAUAAAUUUGCAUAACAAUACUGUCUGUCUGUCUGUCUGUCUGUCUGUCUAAAUAGGUGGAAUAUCAAAUGUCACAUUAACAUUUAAGUUUAAAUUUUUGGUGGGUGACAUGUCAGUCACUAACCGGAUCCAAUUAAAACAUAACAAUCAAAUAAUACUCCAACAACAAACUCUAACUGUACACACAUAUAUACUUUUCCUAUGUAUUAUCCUUUUUUUUGAACGAUAACCAAAAUACAUUAAAAGUAUUAAUCAAAUAUCAAAAUUAUGCCCAUGCAAAAUUAAUGCUGGUAGGUGACGUGUCAGUAACUUGCAAAAGCAAUAAAACACAAAUACUCGCCAAGACCAACAUUGAAACAGGAUGCUCUCACACAGUUAAGAAGUACCCAAUGACUAAAACAGCACCAAGCAAAGCCUCACCAUAGACAAGGGCUCAUAACCAGUUUUCAAACACAACAUGUGCAGCCUGCAAGAUGAGUCAUGACGACUGAAUAUGGCACAGAUGACUACAGGGAUAAAUAUACCUGAAGUAAACCUUGGAGGAAAAGUUCACCCAGUACAGGGCUCGAACUCACAACAGUUGGAACACUAGCAUAGGGAUCUACCAACUGAGCUAUAUUACCCAUGCAUAACUCACUCCUUCAUUAAAACUUUAAGCCGACACAAUUAUAAACCCAGGACAAAAAGUGCUCACUAGUGAUUUAAGUUUAUGACCGUGAAGACUGCUUGUCAAGACUGCUAUGUUUUUGAUAAUCAAUAUGCUCUUAUUCACAUUAUUAUCAAGCUCCCAUUGAUGUGAUGUAAAAUGAAUUAUUUGUUACAUUCAACAACCAUAUCCCCAUAAUAAUGAAUUUAGACCGUUAUUUGAUAUUAUUGUAGGUGAUGUUUUUAACCGUGUGCGACUUCUAGUCAUAUUGCACUUAAGUUACCACAGUCAUGAACAGAUUUUAACAGAAUUUGUUUUAUAGACUGAUUGUUAAUUUUGAAAAGUCAAGUGGGCACUUAACAUAGAAUCAAAUUUGUAUGUCCAUAUGUAUGCUACAAAUACAAGUGUCCGUGUUUAUUGUGUGAUAUUGAUUUAUUAAACACACAAAUAAGAAACGAAUUAAAUAAAUAUUUAAAAAAAUCAUAAUAUGAACAUAUGAUAAUAUCCUUGGCAUGUUCUGCAUUGGAAUGAUAUUCUGGAGUUCAAGAUCCAAUUUGUUAGUGGUUGAAUAAACAGCUACACAUCUUUUCGCUUGUAGUACACAUGAA